GACAGAGGUGCCAAGCGUUAGGCGGAAUCACUGGGCUUAAAGCGUGUGUAGGCGGAUCGUUAAGUACCUUGUGAAAUCCCACGGCUCAACCGUGGAACUGCUCGGUAUACUGGCGAUCUUGAGCCAGCUAGGGGCUACCGGAACAAAUGGUGGAGCGGUGAAAUGCGUAGAUAUCAUUUGGAACGCCAAUGGUGAAAACAGGUAGCUGGGGCUGUGCUGACGCUGAGACACGAAAGCCAGGGGAGCAAACGGG
rnacentral:rRNA from 1 species